CUGUCUGGUUGGUAUUGGCAGCUGGAUUAUCAAGAUGUCUUGAGAAAGUACUUCUGCAAGUAUUUUUCAUACAAUCAAAGCUGUUAGCACUGAAAUAUCUUCCCCAGAAAGGAUUCUCCUGAGCUGCACACCGUGACUGCUGCCUUGACAUUCUCCCAAGCUGACAUCCCGACCGGUAUGACACUGAUGCCUUUGGGCAGAAAUCAGAGCCGGUUUGCUACAUGCCUCCAUGUAGCCAUGAUGCCUGUAGCGCCUCUGAGAGCCCCCAGUGCCCUAGUGGGGAACUGGAGCGAGCACGUGGGCCCCAGAUGAACUCCAGGGAGAGAGCAGGCAUUAUCCCUGGUGAUCCUGCUACCCGUUUCCAGUUGCUACUCGCAUUUAGACCUCCAGCUACUGUUCAAGAAGAAGGGUGGUCUUCUGGCUGAGUCAUUACCCGGGGCUUUGAGUUCUGAUGCAGCUACAGUGAUAUAAGG